GAAGCCUUACACGAUUUUGGUUGUUUUGAAGCAAUAUAUGACAAAGUUCCAAAUGAAAUUAGAGAGGGCGUGUUUGAUACUUUAAAAGAAGUAUUUGAUUUUCCAUUAUCCAAAUUGAUAGAAUAUAGAGAGAAACCCUUUCAUAUCUAUGAUGGGUAAAUUACAAGUAUACCACUCUAUGGUAGUGUGAGCUCUGUUGAUUUGGUCCUCCCAAAUAGUGUUGAAACAUUUGCCAAUACCUUUUGGUCUCAUGGAAACCCUAAUUUAGCAAUGUGGCAAAGUCCUACUUCAAGCAACUUAUGGAAUUGAAUGACAUGGUG